AAGUCGUAACAAGGUCUCCGUAGGUGAACCUGCGGAGGGAUCAUUAACACUGAGGAAAGUAGUGGAGAGGGUCCGAGGACCCCUGAAUCCUGCUGCUUUUUUCAUAUACGUUCCAUACCUCUCUAUCUACCUAUACCGUGAACCUAUGUGACUCCCCUUAACAUUUCCUUGUCUUUUCUUUGAUAGGCAGGAGAUGUUAUUUUUUGUUUUCCCAUACCUUUUCCAACUUCUGUUUUUUUUUUCUUUUUGUUCGCUUGCAACAGCAAGCCAAUGAAAGUAUACAGAAACUGCUUUUUACAGCACAACUCUUAGCAACGGAUAUCUUGGUUCUC
rnacentral:misc_RNA from 1 species